rnacentral:lncRNA from 1 species
AUGUGUGGUGGGGAAAGCAUGUGGUGUUGUCCACAGCAGCUGCAGGUUGCUGGGUGGGCCCUGUAGACAGACAAACAUGCCCAUCAGAAGUUAAAUACACCAAACCCUGUAUAGGAGACUCCAUACAGAAUAUAUGCAGCAAGAGGUAAUUUGACACAAAAUCCAAAAACUGCAGUUGCCCUUGUUUGCUUGCACAUGAAUGACAAUUACCCCCCCUCAAAAUCAGAGUGAUGAACGUAACUGUGUAGAUACCUGUAGUCACAGCUAUCACCUCCCAAGCAGAAAAGGCAUGCCCGGGAAUCGAACUCAGGUCGGAACUAGGAUACUUGCCUCAAACCAACCCAUUUUAUCAUGACUUCCCCAGCUGGGAACAUCUCACCAUUCCCAAGUAUUCGUUCCCUGUAUCAGCUAGUAACCAACAUACUUCCUCAACGGCUUCUUCCUGUUUAAACCUGGGUAGUUGCCUUAAUCAACCUGUUACAUCAUGAUUUCCCCCAGAGAACAACUCACCAGUGGUCACUAUUCACGUGUCAUGCCCCGUGAUAUGAGCCAGUAGCCAACAUAUGCCUCCAUCCUCAAUGGCUUCCAAACCGGCACCCAUAUCUCAGGCAGAGCGGCAUCAUGCUUAUGUCACCUUUCUUCAUCGUAGGCAGAGCUUUGGUGGAUGAUGCCGUCUGCAGCUCCCGUUUCUCGCUUCUGUACACAUGCCUGCUGAAGCAAGUUUACCAUAUGGGGUUGCAACCCCCUCAUUUGAGUCCUGCAGAUCAUGCAAGCAAGCAGUUGCAAUGUCUAGCACGCAAGCCCAAUUUUACUACUUCUCAUGAGACAACAUCAUACUUUGGGUUGUUGCUUGGGUUUGGUGCUGCCCAGGUGUGCAGCCAUGGCAGGAGGAGCGUGGUCGCGAUGGUGAAGUCCUUUGUUGCCAAGUUGCCAUAGAACUCGGCAAAGUCAUCAUAUUCCAUUCCACUGACGGCCAGGAAUUCCUCAAACGCUUUGGUGGCCUUAUCACCAGCAGCACUGCAAACGUUGCUGGGCACGUUUAAAAUGUACCGCUCAUCUAAUGAACAAGUGCAAUGGCUGAUGAUGCCACUCACUUGUCAUUCGUUGGCUGCAUCAUAGCUGCAGCUGGACCUCGUGCAUCCUGCGCCUAUUGUCCGACGGCUGCGUGGGCUGCAUCCCAAAUCCACCCACAAAAUCAUCAUUGGCUUCCAUUGUGAUAUUCCUCUUAAGCAUCUUUAGAGAUUUGACCUAUGAGGUUAACCAUAGUUAGAGAGUAGGGUCGGGCUGGAGCCAACUAUAGCACAGCCAGAGACUCUUGAUCCUGAGUAAGGUAACUAUUACAAAGACGAUAACACCUGUUAGUUUGAUGCUGCAAUG